rnacentral:rRNA from 1 species
GACGAACGCUGGCGGCGCGCUUAACACAUGCAAGUCGAACGGAAAGGCCUGCUUUCCCUUGUGGAUUGCGGGUACUCGAGUGGCGAAUGGGUGAGUAACACGUGAGUGAUCUGCCCCCAACUUGGGUAUAAGCCUGGGAAACUGGGUCUAAUUCCCGAUAGGACUGCAGGGUGGUGCCUGUGGUGGAAAACGAUUUUCUAGUGGUUGGGGAUGAGCUCGCGGCCUAUCAGCUUGUUGGUGGGGUAAUGGCCUACCAAGGCGGCGACGGGUAGCCGGCCUGAGAGGGUGGACGGCCCCAUUGGGACUGAGAUACGGCCCAGACUCCUACGGGAGGCAGCAGUGGGGAAUAUUGCACAAUGGGCGGAAGCCUGAUGCAGCGACGCCGCGUGGGGGAUGACGGCCUUCGGGUUGUAAACUCCUUUCGACCGCGAGGAAGCCACCUGGUUGGAAGGGUGGUGACGGUAGUGGUAGAAGAAGCACCGGCUAACUACGUG